rnacentral:lncRNA from 1 species
AACCAGAGUCCCUGGAGAGUGAUGGAGAUGCCGCUGGCUAAGUCGACGAUGAAGCUCUGAGGGAAGGCUGCCCCGAGGCACGAGAAGAGUAUGCAGAGGCCGAUGAGGUAGACGAGGAGCUCAUGGUAUCGUCCUUCCAGGCCGGCGUGCGUGGUGGAGUGGAAGUAGAAGAGCAGGAACUCGGCGGUGAAGGCCAUGCCGGCGAUGAUGUUGAGAGCUCCCAGUGGAAGAUGGAGCACCCUGCGCAAGCAAAAGGCUUUCGAGGUAAGUGAACUCGUCUUUCUCGAUACAGCUUUUUCUCUUUUUGACUAGCUGCUGAUUGGAUGAAUCGUGUCGAGCAGGGAAAAAAGAGGGAGAUACGUACCCGGCAGCUUCGGUGAAGAGCGCGACGGCGCCGAGCACGAAGAACAUGAGGAGCAUUGCCGAGUGCUCGAAAUUGUUGAGGUGCUUGGCGUUGAGGGCUCCAUCGACGAAGUACUGGAAGUGGGGGGAGUAGAAGAACUCGAUGCAGAGGUCGAGGAGGGCGCCGAGGGUGAUGAUGUAGAGCUCGAGGAAGCGGAGGGAGCCUGUGACCCUGGGGAGGGCGUGCCAGACGCGGCCCUGGAAGCCCUUUGGGUUGGAAACGUACUUGAGGAGGGAAUUGAGGGUGUGCCAGAUGCCCACGACCAGGAAGAGCGUGCCUGGGACUGCAUGGCCUCGGAAAGAUCCCAUGGAUUCCAAUUGGGCGGGUGGCACAGCAGGCAAGGAUUGUGAUUUGCGCGGACCAAAUGAUGGACCCAAUCAAUCCUGAUCCGCGUUGCGCGCCGCCGCCAUCAUCACUUCCACACCGGCCGCCUUUUUCUUUUUUUUUUCUUGUUCUUGUUGCUGACAGAAUAUACUAUCUUAGAAUAUUCUUUUGUAUAUUAAAAGCAUUUUAGGG